rnacentral:rRNA from 1 species
UACGGAGGGUGCAAGCGUUAUCCGGAUUCACUGGGUUUAAAGGGUGCGUAGGAGGGCAGGUAAGUCAGUGGUGAAAUCUCCAAGCUUAACUUGGAAACUGCCGUUGAUACUAUCUGUCUUGAAUAUUGUGGAGGUGAGCGGAAUAUGUCAUGUAGCGGUGAAGUGCUUAGAUAUGACAUAGAACACCAAUUGCGAAGGCAGCUCACUACACAAUCAUUGACUCUGAGGCACGAAAGCGUGGGGAUCGAACAGG